AUUCUCAUUCGAAAAGGGUUUUCCAAAGACUCAUUGAUUGAUUUUAAAUUGUGCUUUCAUAUUUUUGUAUUUGCAACUGGUUCGAAUGAGAAUAUAGCCUCAUUGCAACUGCUUUCAUAUUUUUGUGCUUUCAUAUUGCUACAUUUUAUUAUUUUACCAACUUAAUAAUUAAUAAAUCACUAUGGAGUUAUACUGUUAUAGCCGUCCAGAAUCAGAGAUCGGUCAAGGACGGAUAUUUUAGAUAUCGUUGUGGGAAAUAAAAGACUCUACCUGCUGUUUAACAUGCACUCUGCUGCUAGAGGUAUACAACAAGUACUUUCUUUCAACCUUCAGUUGCUCUUUCAGCCAGAUUGCACACGAACAACCAGUCCAGAUGUCUGGUCUGUUUCUGGGCCCCGAUUUAGAUACUAGGAAUAAUGGCACACCUUGUAUGGGUUAUGACUACGACCACUACAACCAGUACUUCAUGGGCAGGCAGGACCAUGAGAAACAAAUGCAUGAUUGGGCUUCUGAUGGUCAACAGGCUGGGCUGACUUAUGGAUCUUCGGCUAUUAUUGGAUGAGCUUUUUUGACAGUUAGAAAAGAAGUUAUAGAAGUUGCUCUUAUAAAAGACUCCUUGAAGACCUAAAUUGGGAAGAAGCAAGAUAACAAGAAAGAUUAGUCGCUAUACUGCUGAAACAAUUUUUUCUCAAUGAGAAUCGCUAAAUCUGAUUUGGGUCUUAUUUGUUGAAUUUUAUUGUACUAUUACUGAAAUCAUUUAAGUUUUGAUUUCUUAUGACAUGGGUUUUGUGUCAUUUGUUUUGAAAUCUAUUUGGAACAAACAAUACGAUAUUUAUAGAUUUUUGGAACCCGA